AACGAACGCUGGCGGCAUGCCUAACACAUGCAAGUCGAACGAGACCUUCGGGUCUAGUGGCGCACGGGUGCGUAACGCGUGGGAACCUGCCUUUAGGUUCGGAAUAACUCAGAGAAAUUUGAGCUAAUACCGGAUGAUGUCUUAGGACCAAAGAUUUAUCGCCUUUAGAUGGGCCCUCGUUGGAUUAGAUAGUUGGUGGGGUAAAGGCCUACCAAGGCGACGAUCCAUAGCUGGUCUGAGAGGAUGAUCAGCCACACUGGGACUGAGACACGGCCCAGACUCCUGCGGGAGGCAGCAGUGGGGAAUAUUGGACAAUGGGCCAAAGCCUGAUCCAGCAAUGCCGCGUGAGUGAUGAAGGCCUUAGGGUUGUAAAGCUCUUUUACCCGAGAUGAUAAUGACAGUAGCGGGAGAAUAAGCGCCGGCUAACUCCGUG
rnacentral:rRNA from 1 species